GGUGACUAGUUGACAGCGUUAGGGAGGGAAGGGGUGACUAGUGACAGAGUGAGGAAGGGGGUGACUAGUGACAGAGGGAGGGGUGACUAGGGACAGAGUGAGGGAGGUGGUGACUAGUGACUAGUGACAGUCACCACCUCCCUCACUCUGUCACUAGUCACCACCUCCCUCACUCUGUCACCCCCUCCCUCUGUCACUGGUCACCCACUCCCUCCCUCACUCUGUCACCAGUCACCCCUUCCUUCCCUCUGUCACUAGUCACCCCUUCCCUCACUCUGUCACCUGUCACCCCCUCACUCUGUCA